UACAGAGGGUGCAAGCGUUGUUCGGAAUUAUUGGGCGUAAAGGGAGUGUAGGCGGCUCAUUAAGUCUUCUGUGAAAUCUACGGGCUCAACCUGUAACGUGCAGAGGAUACUGAAGAGCUUGAGUGUCGGAGAGGAUAGUGGAAUUCCCGGUGUAGAGGUGAAAUUCGUAGAGAUCGGGAGGAACACCAGUGGCGAAGGCGACUGUCUGGCUGACAACUGACGCUGAGACUCGAAAGCAUGGGGAGCAAACAGG
rnacentral:rRNA from 1 species